rnacentral:lncRNA from 1 species
ACCGUGGUUGUGCAAUGAUGGGACAAAAUGCCCAGGGUCACUGGUCCAGGUGCAGGUUUUGAGUCCUCACUCAAAAAUGAGAUAAGGAAUGUGACUUUGAACUCAUUAGCCUUUUGAUCAGGCUAUGAACUAAAGGCAAAUAGAACAGGUGGCCUGACCCCUGCCAGAGACUGGCACUGCCUGCGAGGACCCUUGGGCCAAUCGGAGCAGCUCAGCCUCAGUUUCUCUCUUCUUCAUCUCCUGUGUACUUGAGGGGCCUCCCGAGGGCUGCUCCCUUCCCAGAUGAGGCUGAAGUAAACCCUGUCAUACAGAGUGGUUCCCCUAAAGGAUUCCUUUAAACAUGAUCCGGUCAGCCAGUGCUCACUUACGUUCACCAAGUCACGUCGGUUUGUGGCGGCAGGAGCCCAGCGUGCCAGGCACCUGCGGGAGGGGAAGAUGCUGGGUGGGGCCCUGCUUUCGACACUUUGCAUCUUAAGCAGAAACGGUCUCACAUUCGCCCAGGCUGGAGUGCAGUGGUGCAAGCAUAGCUCAUUGUAGCCUUGAACUCCUGGGUUCAAGCCAUCCUCCCACCUUAGCCUCCCAAAGCGCUGGGAUUACAGGCAUGAGCCAACACACCUGGCCGGCACCAACUCUCAGCCACGCUGUCGCAGACAGCGGGGCCCCUGCUUGCUGCUGGAUGUCACCUCCCAGCCCUGAGAGGCUGGGGAUGGGAGCCGGCAGCACUCCUUUGCACAGAGCACCGCAGGAAGCACUGGAAUCCGGAAAGAGAGAGGGUGCCGUGAGCAGACUUCCCGGCAGGCGUCAACCUCCUGUGUGGUCAGGAGUGCAGGCGCUGGGGCCGGAACCCUGGGCACUCGACCACAACCGCCUGGGCAACGUGGCCAAGUGGGCGCGUGUCCUGGGGCUCUUGCAACAAGCCAGGUGGCCUCAACAACAGAUACUGAUUCCCUUACAGCUCUGGGGACCAGAAGCCCCAAAUUAAGCUGUGGGCAGGGCUGCACUCCCUCCAGAGGCGCUAGAGGGGGAUCUUCCUUGUCUCUGGCAGCUUCUGGUGGCCCAGGCGUUCCUUGGCUUGUGGCUGCCUCCCUCCAGUCCCUGCCUGGCCCUCCCACGGCCUCGGCCCCUCUCCAUGUGGCUCUCCCUGGGUUUUCUCUUCUCUUCAUGAAGGCGCUUGUCCUUCACACCAGGCGCUGUGGUCCAGCCUGACAGCCCAGGACGAUCACGCUGCCAGGUCUUGACCUGAUUAUAUCUGCAAAGACCCUUUUUUCAAAUAAGGUCAUCUUUACAGGUUCUGGGACACAGACAGAUCUUUCUGUGGGGACACCAUUCAACAAAGAGGGGAAGCCACAGCCAGACCCCCCUCCGCUCAAAGGCUUGCUGUUUCCUAUGUUGCCCGCCACACUCCGUGUCUAUAGAGCUGGGACAGUGGCAGUGCCCACCUCAGAGGUCACCGUGCAGAUUAAAUUCAUCCCUAGACACGAAGUGCUGGGUGCAGGCACAGAGAACUGGAAGGAAAGGUUUCCUGUGACCGUGUGCUCCUUCUGCCCUCGGCUCGGGGUCUCUGCUGUGCUCGGCGUGGGUGGUGAUGAGGAUGUCACUGGGUGCACAGCUGGCCCCGCAAGCUGCCCGGACCCCAGGCCUCCCCUCUUUCCAGCCAGGAUGUUGUGUGCUCACAGCCUCUCAGGGCCACAGGUGCAGUGACUGCUGCUGCUGUGUGCUUAUUUGCUGCAGAGACUCCACUGGGGCCAGGCUGAGCAGGACUCCCCAGACAUAUCCAGAGGUCCUUCGAGAGGGCCGCAUGGCAGGCACAGGGUUGAGGGGCCUGGUGGCAUGGCCACGGCUCACCUGGGAGCGCAGGUGGGAAGCCCCCACACCUAGCAGAGUGCAGCUCCUUCCCGCACAGCCACCUGCGCUCCUUGGCCUGACCCCGUAGGGCUCUCAAUAAGAAACGGGGGCUUCCCCUCCUCCAGUCUCACCCUCAGUCUCCACGUUGUCUCCACCUAGCACCUCCUCCUCUGAUGCGUCACAGUCACAGGUCCUGGUGAGGAGGGAGCCACGCCAAGCACAGCGGCUGGAACAGGGGCAAGUGGGUGCCCACCCCGAAGUGCAGGCAAUGAACUUGUGCUGUAGCCCAUGGUGAGCUGUGGGGCUGUUUGUGACUGCAGCGUAGCCAAGCCCAUCCCGCCUGAUGCGGCCUCUUCAUCCAGAGUGGGGGUGACGUGCCAGCCCCCACCUCACCGGAAUGCUGGGAGGAGCGUCUCCACGGAAGGAGCUCACUUUGUCAGCUGUAAUGUGCUGUGACUAUCGUGCCAUCCCUCUGUGUGGGUCUGUGUCCUCAUCUCCUCUCCGUAUAAGGACACCAGGCAGAUUGGGCCAGGGCCACCCCACCAGCCUCAUGUUACCUUAACCACCUCUGUGAGGACCCCAUCUCCAAGUAAGGUCCCUUGCGGAGGCAUUGGGGCUUAGGGCUGCAGCAUACAGAUCUGGGGGAGACACACGGCCCCUAACAGUAUCAAGGGUGGGUGGGCCCUCAUAGGAUAGGACAGCCGCCCAGUGGGGAGACACGUGGCCCCUAACAGUAUCGAGGGUGGGUGGACCCCCAUAGGAUAGGACAGCCGCCCAGGGGGGAGACACGUGGCUCAUAACAGUAUUGAGGGUGGGUAGAGCCCGAUAGGAUAGGACAGCCUCCGGGGGAGACACGCGGCCCAUGACAGUCUCGAGGGUGGGUGGACCCCCACAGGACAGCCGCCGGACAUUUCCUCCUCUGCUAGUCUGAAAAUCACACUGUCUUAGGCAGACAGGGAAGAAUCAACAUUUCCAUGCCAGGCAGAGGCCCCCGGAGCGCAAAGGACCAGAGGAUCAAAGAGCAAACGUCACCCUCAGGGUCUAACGUGCAGGUGGCAGGACCCCGGCCCUUCCUGUGUAUCUGAUUGUGGGUUUUGUCUCUGCCACGUGCAGGGAUGGGUGCAGACUCCGUCCAAGGUCUUGGCAGGAAGAGAAAACUGCCACUGCAGAGGGGCUGGCUGAGGGGCUGGGAUGGGGUCCCCGGGGCGCGGAGCUGCACACCAGCCCCUCGCACCUAGGCAGAAGGUCCAUUGCCCUCUGCCCCGCAGCCUGCCCGUUCCCAGGCCAGCGAGGGCGCUCCCAGGCCGGUCUGCAGCCAGAACACAGCCCGUUCCAUGUGCUUGUCCUCGGGACACAUUAGGAAUGAACCCAGGCCUCAGUCCUGGCCUCCUCCUCAAGGCUGGGUGCUCAGACGUCCCCCUCAGCCCCUUUCUCUAGACCUUCCGGCUGAACAAACGAGAACAUCUCACAGCCCUGCAACAGCCAGGAGCUGCUCGUGGAGCUCCACGCCCGGCUGGAGAGAGAGGAGGCACCCUGGGCAGCCCGCCAGCACCCAGGCUCUCACAGUGGAAGCCCACGUCUUCUUGGGCUCUAUUUUGAAAGCUGUUCUUUCCACGACGGCUUUGACAAGAAUCGAUUUGAGUGAGCCGGCGUGUCAAUACAGGCCAGCACAGGACUGGCCUCAGGGCCACAUUGGGGAGGGUGGCGACCAGGCCCUGGCUGCAGCCCACGUGGGCAAAAGCAUGGCCAGGCAGGAGGUGGGGCCUGUGAGCUUGGCUACAGCGACCGUGGGCGCUGGGCCCGGGGCUCCUCAGCCCUGAGGGGAGACCCAGGCCCAGGCAGGCUCCCAGGCGGGCUCCCGGGCUCCCAGCCUUCCGAUCUUCUCCCUUUGAGACCUUGCCUUCUGCACAGUGACAGGAAAGAGCCCUGAGUCCCACUUUGCAGGGAUGUAUUGCAUUUCCAGAAAGUUCCUUCCGGGUGCAGAGUGAUACAUGAACCCUGGGGACUCACUCCAACUUGGUAUUGAUUUUCUCCACGGAGGACCCAGCAGUCACGGCCCGUGUCUGCACAGCCCCUUGGAUCCUGCGGAGGAAUUCAGCCGGCCCCUCCCCCUGUGCCGAAAACCACGGAGGCAAAGCCAGGCCAGGGUACAGUGAGAACACGGGAGAGGACUGAGAGACCGCUGGCUGCCGAGGGAGGAAGAGCAGGAUUCGCACCCCCGUCAUCGCUGGGCCCACACGCCGCCGACAGCUUCCGCGUGUGGCCAUCUGUCUUUCAGAAACCCUCUGGCAGAGGGACCCAGCAGAUGACACGGGGGCCGUUCACACUCUGAAACCUGCCUGGAGUCAAAACACUGCUGGCGAGCCUCCACCGCAAACCCAAUCCAGAUGGUCUUCCCUGGUGGCCCUCGGGGUGGCGGGCACCCUGCCCACUCCCUGCCAGCCCCUGCCCGCUGGACUCCAGGCCCGGCCGAGCCCCCGACCGGUCUCCUGACCCAGCAUGCUGCUCUCCCCUGGGCCCGGCUUUCUCGCCCGCUGGGACUCCCAGGCCCCUCCAGCCCAGCCCCGAGAGCAGGAGCCCCAAGGGAGGCUUGGCGGCUGUGGAGGCGAGUGGGCCACGUGUAGCUGGGAGGCCGGCAGGACCAGGAGCCCCUCACAGCGCAGCACCCACAGCAUCACGAGCCACUUCCACUCCUGGGUGGCCUGGGGGCCCCCACCCUGCUCUGAGCUGCCCCUUGUUGUGACCUGGGGUCCCCCGUGGUGGGCCCGCCCCUUGAGCCUGGGAUCCAGCCUCAGCGAGGCUCCAGAAGUGUCGUCUCCGCCGGCCAGGCGUCAGCGCCUCCACCCAGGAUCACACACUCCUAUCUCUGCACUUCUGCCCUCCAUCCUGCUCCACGCCGCCUCUGCUUGUUAUUCCAGCACAUUCCAGGGUGAUGCCUGCUGAAGCCACGCAGCCAGUGCCUCCACCCUACCCCCCAUCUGACCCACCGGCCCCUUCCGCACGCUGGAAGCCUGCCCGGCCUGAAGUGUCCUCACCUGUCGCCCUAUCCUCCCCUCCACUCCAGCCCACCGGUGACUCAGCCCUCACAGCUCUCUCCUCCCCGAGGGAGCCGGUGACUUGGCUCUGAUGGUGCCGGGACCCAGCCCCGGCAUGUUCAGAAUCCUUGUCCUUUAACCUGCGUCCACAUGUAGUCGCCUCCACCUCCCUGCCUGAACCUCCAGGCCCUGCAGAGCAAACACUGCUGCCUGCAGGAGACCCCUGGGGCCUUCUCCGUCCCCUCAUCCUCCUAAGGAGCCUCCCCUGCCACCGUGCCAGAAUGUGCCGGAGGAACAGAGGCCCGAGCCUCCCGUGGCCCCAGCGAGGCUUCCUCUGGGGAAGACAGUGAGCCCAACGCCCUGGCUCUCGAGGGGUGGACGGAGUCCAGCUGGCAUCGACCGGGUGCCCCUCUUCACCGGUGUCCACAGUCCUUGAGAGCAAAGGUGGUCCCAGCAGUGGAGCAGAGGGCAAGGGUGGGGCAUGUAGAGUCUCCAGGGAGCCACUGUUGGUUAGAGAGGGAGCCCGAAGUGGGCUCCGGACCCCAGCAGGGACAGCGUCCCCUUCCAGCGGGGGCAGCCGAUUGAUCUGGGCACACGAGCAGGAGGAGCGGCGCCACCCAGGGCUGACCUCACGGCCCUGCUCACGUCUCGGGGCAUUUUGGCAGACCCACCUAGACCUGGGGGACAGCCUGAUUUCCUGCAGCCAUGACCUACAAGGGUGGCAGCUCUCUCAGGCUUGAGUAACCAGGACACAGACCUGGGCCAUUUAAUGCGCAGGCAGCCCCAAGUCCCGGCAGGGCCAGAAGCAGAGACGGCGGCUGGGGAUGAAAGUGCACGCUGGUCCCAGAUGGGGCUGGGGGUGAAAGCUGCAUGCUGAUCCCUGGGCCCCCUCACUCUAUGAGCUCCUGCACAGGCAUUUGUCAUCCUUACCCUCUAGGACAGCUUUGCCAUGUGCAGUGAACCCCUGGACAGUGUUGCGUGCCACUUUGCCGGAUUUGGACUGUAUACAGACCGAAGCAUGUGGCAUGAAGCCUUCUGCUGUCAGCAAGUUCCUUGUCCCUCGACAGUAUGUGCCCAGGCUGCCCUUCAAGGUGGCAGUGAUGGCAGUUGUCUCUUGCACGCUGCGUACAGUUCUGUCACUGACUCUUACACACAGCCCUGGAGACGGGAGAGUGCCGGGAGCAUUCUAUGCAAGUGUCCUGGCCUUUGCGGGCGUCUCCACAGCACAAACACGAGUCAGGGACCACCCCUCUUCUGCUUCCAUGAUUCCACCAACUGGGUGGGGCAGAGCAGUGCCAGGGCCGGAGGCACGCCCCAGGUGAGGGCAGGUGGCCAUGCCAGUGAGUGCACUGCGUUCUCAGUUAAUUCAUCCGAAAUAUUUCUAAGUUUCUUGAUUAUUGCAGUUGCAUCCCCAAGAUAAUGCCGCCCUCACCAAGUAGAAGGCACAUGUGCUCUGAUGGCCCCUCCCACACUGGGGUCAGGGCACAGCAACUUAGCGAGGCGACGUGGGGGCUCAGAGGACCUCGGACCAGGCUCGGCACAUGGGGCUUCUCCAGCCAGCCAGGGGGAAGCACCCUGCAGACUGCUAACUUUUGCAAAAUAGAGUAAAAAAGAUCAGCUAGAAAAAUAAAACAA